UACAGAGGGUGCGAGCGUUAAUCGGAAUUACUGGGCGUAAAGCGCACGUAGGUGGCUUGGCAAGUCGGUUGUGAAAGCCCCGGGCUCAACCUGGGAACUGCAUCCGAGACUGCUUUGCUAGAGUAUGGGAGAGGGAAGUGGAAUUUCCGGUGUAGCGGUGAAAUGCGUAGAUAUCGGAAGGAACAUCAGUGGCGAAGGCGACUUCCUGGACCAAUACUGACACUCAAGUGCGAAAGCGUGGGGAGCAAACAGG
rnacentral:rRNA from 1 species